GAUGAAGAACGCAGCGAAAUGCGAUACGUAAUGUGAAUUGCAAAUUCAGUGAAUCAUCGAAUCUUUGAACGCACAUUGCGCCCUUUGGUAUUCCAAAGGGCAUGCCUGUUCGAGCGUCAUUUGUACCCUCAAGCUUUGCUUGGUGUUGGGCGUCUUGUCUCUAGCUUUGCUGGAGACUCGCCUUAAAGUAAUUGGCAGCCGGCCUACUGGUUUCGGAGCGCAGCACAAGUCGCACUCUCUAUCAGCAAAGGUCUAGCAUCCAUUAAGCCUUUUUUUCAACUUUUGACCUCGGAUCAGGUAGGGAUACCCGCUGAACUUAAGCAUAUCAAUAAGCGGAGGA
rnacentral:misc_RNA from 1 species